GUCCACGCCCUAAACGAUGUCGACUGGUUGUUGGGGUUUGACACUCUCAGUAACGAAGCUAACGCGUGAAGUCGACCGCCUGGGGAGUACGGCCGCAAGGUUAAAACUCAAAGGAAUUGACGGGGACCCGCACAAGCGGUGGAUUAUGUGGAUUAAUUCGAUGCAACACGAAAAACCUUACCUACCCUUGACAUGUCCUGGAGCCUGGAGAGAUCCGGGUGUGCCCGAAAGGGAACGGGAACACAGGUGCUGCAUGGCUGUAGU
rnacentral:rRNA from 1 species